rnacentral:rRNA from 1 species
UACGGGGGGGGCAAGCGUUAUCCGGAAUUACUGGGCGUAAAGGGUGAGUAGGCGGCCAAAUAAGUCAUAUGUGAAAAUCCAGGGCUCAACUCUGGACCUGCAUAAGAAACUGUUUGGCUAGAGUGCAGGAGAGGUAAGCGGAAUUCCUAGUGUAGCGGUGAAAUGCGUAGAUAUUAGGAAGAACACCAGUGGCGAAGGCGGCUUACUGGACUGUAACUGACGCUGAGUCACGAAAGCGUGGGGAGCGAACAGG